CCUACGGGUGGCAGCAGUGAGGAAUAUUGGUCAAUGGGCGGGAGCCUGAACCAGCCAAGUCGCGUGAAGGAAGAAGGUACUUAGUAUUGUAAACUUCUUUUGUCGGGGAACAAAGGCGGAGACGCGUCUCCGGAUGAGUGUACCCGAAGAAAAAGCAUCGGCUAACUCCGUGCCAGCAGCCGCGGUAAUACGGAGGAUGCGAGCGUUAUCCGGAUUUAUUGGGUUUAAAGGGUGCGCAGGCGGGAGAUCAAGUCAGCGGUAAAAUGUCGGGGCUCAACCGUAAAAUUGCAGUUGAAACUGGCAGUCUUGAGUACAGUAGAGGUGGGCGGAAUUCGUGGUGUAGCGGUGAAAUGCUUAGAUAUCACGAAGAACUCCGAUUGCGAAGGCAGUUCACUGGACUGCAACUGACACUGAGGCUCGAAAGUGUGGGUAUCAAACAGGAUUAGAUACCCUAGUAGUC
rnacentral:rRNA from 1 species